rnacentral:rRNA from 1 species
CCUACGGGUGGCAGCAGUGAGGAAUAUUGGUCAAUGGGCGCGAGCCUGACCCAGCAAAGUCGCGUGAAGGAUGACUGCCCUACGGGUUGUAAACUUCUUUUAUAAAGGAAUAAAGUGAGGCACGUGUGCCUUUUUGUAUGUACUUUAUGAAUAAGGAUCGGCUAAAUCCGUACAAGCAGCCGCGGUAAUACGGAGGAUCCGAGGGUUAUCCGGAUUUAUUGGGUUUACAGGGAGCGUAGAUGGGUGGUUAAGUCAGUUGUGAAAGUUUGCGGCUCAACCGUAAAAUUGCAAUUGAUACUGGCAGUCUUGAGUACAGUUGAGGUAGGCGGAAUUCGUGGUGUAGCGGUGAAAUGCUUAGAUAUCACGAAGAACUCCGAUUGCGAAGGCAGCUUACUAAACUGCCACUGACAUUGAUGCUCGAAAGUGUGGGUAUCAAACAGGAGUAGAUACCCUAGUAGUC